ACUUGAUCCAAUUUGACUUUGCCAUGUAACUGUAAAAACGUAGCCUUUUUUAGUUUGCUGUCAUUUAUCUUGAAACUACUUUGCCUAUAGGUGUAUGAUGGGUUAUUAUAAAUUUUUACUUAUUUCCAAUGAGUAUAGUAGUUUUUUCGCAAAAAAAAAAUGAGUAUAGUAGUUGUCCUGUUUGGUGUGUACAUCAAGAGACUCCUCCUGCGGAAGCCGGUCAGAACUUAGGAGCUAUCCAUCUUAUGGUGUAACUACUGCUAGGAAACCUUAAGAUUGCCAUCAAUGUCACAGAAUCACCCUGAUAAAAAAUGUGUCAGAUCACAAAUCAACAGCGAGCUUAUUUAUUUUUAUCUCUGUCAGAGUAACCAUCAUAAAUUUAUAGACACGCAUGCUUCCCCUACGUUGCAUGUUUGUUGAAUGAAAAAGCAUUCAGCUUGUUUGCAUUUUUUCAGACAAGUGAUUGAAAGGAAGUAAAUCAUGUCAUCGUGUUAUCCAUUUUCUGUUUCAGCCAUGUGGCUGUACUCCUUCGAUUAACGUAAGCUAUAAGAAGACUCUCGAGGGUGCUUUAGCAUGUGCUUAUGCGACUCUUUCGCUGGCCAAGACCACUGUUGAGCAUUGAAAAGAUGGUUUGUAUGGAUGCAUCAGAGGACAUGUGGACUCCAAAAUCUAUGAUAUCAAUGCUGUGAAGACAUUGGAAUAUUUGCGACUUCUCCUACUAAUGAUAUGCUGAUGUACCAAAUUCCCGGAGCUGUUUAGGUGACAUUAUUAUAGGACCCUGCUGUUAUAAAAUAACUCUGAAUUGGGCUUUGCUGUCUAAUAAAGCAUUGUCGUACCCAUCUUUAAGAGUUCGUAUCCAUAUUACACAUUCAUUAAUCAUCUUUGAUACUGUUAGAUUUGACUAUCAGACGAUAUGUGCUGUGAUUUUCUGGCCAUGCUGGCAGUCCUCACGUCCGGGAUUCAGACAAUGCUGAUCGUUUCUUACGUUCACGUCAAUUUGUAUUAUACAAUCUUUUUUACGACAUAUUAAUGUUUCGUACGAGCAUGGUUGCAACUUAUUUUGAAACAUUAAAGUUUCUCAGAUUAGAAUAAGCAGAUAUUUUUUAAUUGCUGAACAUGGGUUGGUGAUUUACUUUCUUAGGGUAUUUUUUCGAAUCUUACAUUCCCAAUUAGGAUUCCUACGUUUCAUAACUGGGAGGUUGGCAGGCUCGUGCUCCUGUGCUCUUGAGGGCAACUUCUUAUGUUGCCUCGGUUUCCUUACCUUUCCAUCUAUGUUUCUUACCGCAUGGUUUAAAGAAAAAAGCCUCACGAAUGGGGGGUAGGCUCACGAUGUAAAUAACUCGCAUACAGAAGGUAAUAUUACGGUGUUCCGUUUUGCUUUACGGAACAGAGAGGUUCCCUUUUGACGCUGUAAUUUUACUUCACAUGCUUUUCUUUCCUACCUUCUGAAUUGUGGCCGUGGAAGAUGGGUGGGGUGAGGAAUAAGAAUUUCUGCCAGACGCACUAGCACCUCCAUCGCUCACCUUUUUUUUACAGGAUCCAGCGCCCAUUGAAGCGGUAGCGGCCGGAGGUCUCGGCGGCGAGCGGCCGCAGCGCGGAGGAGCGUGGUGUCCUUCGGCGGCGAUUCCACCGAUCCCCUUCGCCUCCGGUGGCUGAUUAGGUGUCGGCUUCCUGAUGGGAACACGGAUCUGUCCACAGAGUUUUUGCAGAGGCUGUAGAUAGAAGAGAUCAUGAGGCUGAACAUCCUGUCCAAUCAGGUUAUGUUUGGCCAUUGGCAUGCAUAUUGAUGCGCCAUGCAUCUCCUUUCAUCAUGAUGGUCAGCGACCGGGUCUUCGCCGCCGGAGCUGUUCAGUAUCACCUACUCUCGGGUGAAGCUCGGCGAGAGAGGCCCUACAGUUUACAAAUAUUCGUGGAGCUCUCACAGUGGCAGACAGAGAGAGGAGCUACUCCAGCAUUGCACGGCUGACAGCAAGUGACUAAUGCCCUAAUCUUGUUGUGUAAAUUAAUGCAACUAGCGUUAACUUGUAGAGCAUCAUGUUGUUAGAAUAGUUCUAAGGUCACCGUGUGAUUUCGUUUACAUUUUUGCUUGCUUGCCGGUGUACCAAACAAGAUGCAAGAUGGCAUAUAAUGUAUUUUUACAUUGAAUCAUGGAUGGUGCAUUGGUGACAUUUUCUUUAGAGUAUGAUGAUCAUCUUUGUUUUA